rnacentral:rRNA from 1 species
UCAAGCUACAAAGGGCUCACGGCGGAUACCUUGGCACACAGAGGCGAUGAAGGACGUGGUUACCUGCGAUAAGUCUCGGGGAGCUGGAAACACGCUUUGAUCCGGGAAUUUCCGAAUGGGGCAACCCCUAGAACGGCCAGCUGAAUCUAUAGGCUGGCGCGAGCCAACCCAGCGAACUGAAACAUCUUAGUAGCUGGAGGAAAGGAAAGUAAAAACGACUCCCUAAGUAGCGGCGAGCGAACGGGGAAGAGCCUAAACCGAUACUUUCGAGUAUCGGGGUUGUGGGACAGCAACGUGUAUCAGGGAAGUUAGGAGAAGUGCUUGAAUGGCACGCCACAGAGGGUGAAAGCCCCGUAACCGAAAACUGAACUGAGCUAGCUGUAUCCCGAGUAGCACGGAGCACGUGAAAUUCCGUGUGAAUCUGCGAGGACCACCUCGUAAGGCUAAGUACUCCUGUGUGACCGAUAGCGCAACAGUACCGCGAGGGAAAGGUGAAAAGAACCCCGGGAGGGGAGUGAAAUAGAACAUGAAACCGUGAGCUUACAAGCAAUGGGAGCCCUACUCAUAGGGUGACCGUGUGCCUGUUGAAGAAUGAGCCGGCGACUUAUAGGCACUGGCGGGUUAAACCGGAAAUGGUGGAGCCAUAGCGAAAGCGAGUCUGAAUAGGGCGUUUGUCAGUGUUUAUAGACCCGAACCCGGGUGAUCUAACCAUGGCCAGGAUGAAGCUUGGGUGAUACCAAGUGGAGGUCCGAACCGACUGAUGUUGAAAAAUCAGCGGAUGAGCUGUGGUUAGGGGUGAAAUGCCAAUCGAACCCGGAGCUAGCUGGUUCUCCCCGAAAUACGUUGAGGCGUAGCGUCUCGUGCUCCAGCAGGGGGGUAAAGCCACCAUUUCGGUGCGGGCUGCGAGAGCGGUACCAAAUCGAGAUGAACUCUGAAUACCCUGUGUGUAGCGAGGCAGUCAGACUGUGGGGGAUAAGCUCCAUGGUCGAGAGGGAAACAGCCCAGACCGCCAGCUAAGGUCCCCAAAUCAACACUAAGUGAUAAAGGAGGUGGGAUUGCCGAGACAACCAGGAGGUUUGCCUAGAAGCAGCCAUCCUCAAAGGAGUGCGUAAUAGCUCACUGGUCGAGCGAUCCUGCGCCGAAAAUGAACGGGGCUAAGUGUUGUACCGAAGCUGCGGAUUAAACUUGUUUAAUGGUAGGGGAGCGUUCUAUGUGGGGUGAAGCGUUAGCGUAAGCGGGCGUGGACUGCAUAGAAGUGAGAAUGUCGGCUUGAGUAGCGAAAAAAUGGGUGAGAAUCCCAUUCCCCGAAACCCUAAGGGUUCCUCCGGCAGGCUCGUCCGCGGAGGGUUAGUCAGGACCUAAGGCGAGGCCGAAAGGCGUAGUCGAUGGAUAACAGGUCAACAUUCCUGUACCGGUCAUGUUUUGGGAAGAGGGACGGAGAAGGCUAGCCAAGCCAGAUGUUGGUUACUGGUUCAAGCGUUCGAGGCGUUGAGGAGCGGUGAAAACGUUCCGAGCUGAGGCGUGAGUACGAGCUGCUACGGCAGCGAAGUUGGUGACGUCAAGCUUCCAAGAAAAGCUCUAUACCCGUUAAGGCAUGACUGCCAGUACCCGAAACCGACACAGGUGGGGUGGUAGAGAAUACCGAGGUGCGCGAGGUAACUCUCUCUAAGGAACUCGGCAAAAUGGCCCCGUAACUUCGGGAGAAGGGGUGCCAGCGCGAGCUGGUCGCAGUGAAUAGGCCCAGGCGACUGUUUACCAAAAACACAGGUCUCCGCUAAGUCGCAAGACGAUGUAUGGGGGCUGACGCCUGCCCAGUGCCGGAAGGUUAAGGAAGCCGGUCAGCGUAAGCGAAGCUGGCGACUGAAGCCCCGGUGAACGGCGGCCGUAACUAUAACGGUCCUAAGGUAGCGAAAUUCCUUGUCGGG